ACUCGACUCUUUGUAAAUUGCACUUAAGAAGAAGCACCUAAAAUCCGAAUUUUUUUAGGUGUGUAAACUUUUACAUCAAUAGCAGUACCUGUUUAAGGUUUUUUAUUGGAAUAUACACUAAAUUAAUUUUAAACCAUUAGUGUUUGAUUCUAUCUUGUUUUGAAAGCUUAACAGUUUAUUACUUUUUUGUAAUUAAGGUUAAAAAAAAUAGGUUGUCUUUGGCCCACUACAUAGGGUGACAUUGGCACGGGCUAAAGUCACACCAUGUAUUAGAGUAAACAUUUUUUAGUGAUCAUUUAUAGAUGUUAUGGUAGUUACUAUGUUGGAAUGAAAAAUUUUGUAGUAGUAAUGCAAUAGAAAAUCAGUAUAACAGUUUGUAUUAGUAAACUGUUAUACUGAUUUUUCAGUAUAAAAUUAUAGUCAAACUUGUUUAGUUCUUAGUUUAAAUAUGCCACAAAAUUACAAGUUAAAUCGUGGAAGAAGAAAAUAUGUUACUUAUACUUUAGAACAGGUAAACAAUGCAUUAAAAGAUUUAAAGAAUGGUUCAAUUACUCAAAGACAAGCAGCUUUGAAAUACGAUAUACCAAGAUCUUCAUUAAAAAAUAAAAUAAAACAGACAUAUCCUAAAAGGUAUGGUGGUCAGCAAAUAUUUACAUCAAAAGAAGAAGACAUGUUUAAGGCAUAUGCAAUAAAAUCAUCUGAGUUUGGUUUUCCUGUUGAUAAAUAUGAUUUAAGAUGCAUAGUAAAAGGGUAUUUAGAAAAAAAAGGCGUCAUUAUACCUCAGUUCAAAAAUAAUUUUCCACGUGGUGAUUGGAUUCGAUCUUUUUUAAAAAGAAAUCCAGAACUCACAGUAAGAUUUGCAAGCAACAUAAAGCGAAAGAGAGCAGAAAUAGGAACGACUGUGAUUGAUAACUACUUUAUAAAUCUAUCAAAUGAAAUAAGUAAUAAAUCACCUGAUAAUAUAUGGAACUAUGAUGAAACCAAUCUCAGUGAUGAUCCAGGUAAAAAAAAAUAUUAACAAAGCGUGGAUGUAAGUAUCCUGAACUCAUCAUUAAUUCUACAAAGACCUCAUUCUCUGUAAUAUUUUGCGGUUAUGCUAAUUGUGAAUUGCUACCACCUUUGUUGUUUACAAAGCUGAGUCGUUAUGGAAUACAUGGAUGGAACAUGGGCCACCAAAAGCACGUUAUAACAGAUCAAAAAGUGGUUGGUUUGACAACAUGUUUUGAGGACUGGUUUUUCUCUUUACUUCUUCCAAGACUUAAGAAGGCUCAAGGAAGAAGUCUCAUUAUAGGUGAUAACGUAUCUUCACAUUUGAGCAUUGCAGUACUGGAUGCAUGUCAAAGCAAUAACAUAGGAUUUGUGGCAUUACCAGCAAACUCUACACAUCUCACGCAGCCAUUAGAUGUUGCCUACUUUAGACCUAUAAAGAUUAACUGGAAGGAGAGUUGCUUCUCUUCCUAAAGAUGAAUUUCCUAGACUUUUAGACUGUUUAAUUACCAACUUAAAUGAACAUGGGAAUGAUAACCUUAGAGCUGGUUUUCGCAAAACUGGAAUUUUUCCAUUAGACAAGUCUCAAGUGCUUUCACGACUACCAUGUUGUAAUGUAGGUUUAGACUCAACUACUGAUUUAGUAAGCCAAUCAUUUUUAGAUCAUUUAUGUAAGUCACUAGAUGAUCCCUCAGAUGGUUCUAAAAACCCAAAGCGACGUAAAGUAUGUGCUGUCCCAGGUAAAAGCUUAUGUUCAACAGAUAUAUCAUUGUGUGUUAUAAAUGAAAAUAAUAGAUUAAAUUCAAAUAAUGUAGAUACACCUAUCAGUAUUAUAUAUACAAUUGAGACCAACAACAUUGAUUUUGCUGGCCCAAGUACAAAUACUGGAACUACUGAGACUUCUAAUCUAAUUUUUGCAGAUGUAAGUUUAGUUGUAGAAAGUCAUACAAAAUCUUUAGAUCAUUCAGCAUAAGGCAAAAAUAACAACUUUCAAAAUAUUGGUAAAACAAAAAAUGUUUGUAAAAAGAAGAAAUUAUUAAAUCUUGUAGAGAAUUGUUAUGUAAUUGUUAAAUGCAAUGGAGAGUUAAAUCCUGGACAGGUUUGUUUAUUUAUUUUGAGUUAUUUAUAUUUAGCUAAUCAAUUAGUAAACUUUAUAACUAAUUGAUUUAAUAACUAAUAUUAUUUAAUGAAACUACUGAAAAAUUUUAAAAAAACUUUCUAAAUUUUUUUUUCUGCAGUUGAAAAAAUUAAGAAAAAAUGCAGUAGAAAUUACUAUUUUGAAAAAAAUGGACUUAACUGGAAAUGGUCACUACCAGCAGAGCAACUUUUUUUUCCCCAGUCUGAAAUAGUCGAUUUUAUUGAGGAACCAAAGAAAAUUUCGAAAAAAGGAAUUUAUUCAGUUCCAGAACUUUUUUACUAAAUUUUUUAAAACAUUUUUUUCAUUUUUGUUUACUUUAUACCUAAACUGUUUUGUUUACUUGGUACCUAUACUUGUUUAGUUUGUACCUAUAUUUUAUUUCUCUGUACACAAGAACUUUGUUACUAAAUCUUUUUUUGUCACUUUAUUUUUGUAAAUUUAUUUUCUUUGCCUAAAUAUUGCUGUUUUUAUUGUAGUUUCGCUUCCUUUAGUUCCUUUUUACAGGGUUGGGCCAAAGUCACCCUAACACAUAGGGUGACUUUGGCCCACCAUUUAAACCACCCAAAAGAUACUUCAGGUAAAUAAUUUUCAAAUGGGAGACAGAUAGUUCUAACUGUCCUUUCUAUGCGCUUCUAAAAGUACUUAGUGUUUGAGGAAAUAACUUUUGUGGCUUUCAUGCAAUAGACAUUAAGAUGCAAAAUGGGCCAAAGCCACCCAAUCUUACGGUACCUGAAAAGAGUUUGAUUGUUAAACUUUUAAGAUUUUAUAAUAAUGUUAUUUCUUAUAAUGCUUUAAUUAAUUAGAGCAUCUUAAAUGUUAAUACAAUUAAAUGUAAAAUUUUCAUUGUUAUGAUUUUUAAUUUCUGGAAGUUUUGUUGUAUUCUUUUCUAUAAUUACAGAGUGAAACUUUAAUUUUAUCAUUGAAUCAAACUAGAUCAAAGUACUAUAACACUACCCACUAUCCCAAAUUUGCUUUAGAGGUAAUUAAAUAUGGAAUAUCAGGUGAAGCAGCUGCCGCUGUAGCUAAUGCUCUACUUCAAGAUAUUGGUUAUCUACAUCUCAAUGAUGUAAUUGUCCUAAGUAAAAUGAAGAGAGAGAAAGAACGAGUAUGCUUUAAUGCUAGUUUUGAGCAAUCUAAAGUUUCAAAUAUAAAGGCAAUUGGUUUGGAUAGCAAACGUAAUAAAAACUCAUUGGUUUAUGAACAGAGAGAUAUUUACGGUGAAAUAAAACUUUGUAAAUCUACCAGCACUGUAGACAGCUUGGCAUUCACAAUUGAAUCAGCAAGUUGCAAAAUCAUAUCUAAAGCACAUAGAUGUACCUAAAAAAAAAGGUAAAGGAAAAGAUCUUGCUGAAUUUACCUGUAAUGUUCUCAAGGAGUUUAAGAGUGACAUGAGUAUCCAGGCAAUAAUUUUGGACAAUACAAGUGUUAAUACAGGUAAAGAUAAUGGUUUAGUUGCUUGUCUUGAAAGAAUAUUGAAAAAAAGAAUUCAUUUAAUUGGCUGUCUUCUACAUGUUAACGAGUUACCAUUGCGUCAUUUAGUUUCUAAACUUGAUGGUUCUUCUAAUAACUCAAACAAUUAUUCGGGACCAGUUGGAAAAUCUUUGACAAGUCCAAUUCAUUUAAAUUUAACUGUUGACUUCAUACAAGUUGAGACAGACGUUGAAUAUCCUCCUCCGUGUGUUAUUAAAGACCUCUCUGCUGACCAGAGAAUGCUACUGGAUAUAGUACUGAAAUUUCUAGAGGGUUUUCAGACAAUAAGUAUCUGAGAAAAAAAAAUAGGCCCUAUUUGUCAUGCAAGGUGGCUGACAACAGCAAUACGGAUCUUGGCACUAUUCACAAGAACAAUCAAUCUCAGUAGAGAGCUCAAAAUCUUUGUUGAAUAUAUUCAAACAGUAUAUACCCCUAUGUGGUUUAAUAUCAAAAAGUCUAAGAGUUUCACAGAGGGUCCUAAACUCAUUUUCCAAUUUAUUCAGCGGAUUUUGAGGUUGGAUACUGAAGUUCAAAAUAUUACAUUGCCCAUAAUUUAUAGAAACUCUUUUUGUCUCCAACCUAAAAAUUUUAUUGCUGCUCUACUUUAUUCUGAAGAAUAUGUUUAUAGAACAAUUGCUGUUGUUAAGAUUUUGGAAACAAUAAAAACCCUAAUUAAGGAUCCUAAAAAUGGAUUAAAAGAUGGUAUUAGGGUUAAUGCCAUUCCAGUUAUUUAUUGUAGAUGUAAAAACUGGUCAAAAUUAAUAAAUUUGUAUGAUAUAGACUGUUGUGAGCCCCCUUGUGUGGAAGAUAUAUCAAAUGAGGAGCUUUUGAAUAUAAUUCCGAAUCAGGGAAAGGCUCCCAACUUUUCGUGCCACUCGCAAACGGUUGAAAGAGCAGUGAAAAUGACUUCUGAUGCUAGAAGAAAAUUUAUUAACGUCAAGAAAAGAAAUGCUCAUAUUCUAGCUAAAUGCCAAAGUGAAAUGUUUUAGAACAAAGAAAGAAUAUACGUUGUAAUUUGUUAUCAUUUUUUUAAAUUAAUCUAUUUGGUAA